UCGAGGAUCUUCGGCAAUGGGCGCAAGCCUGACCGAGCGACGCCGCGUGCGCGAUGAAGGCCUUCGGGUUGUAAAGCGCUGUCGAGGGGGAGGAAAGCCGCAAGGCCUGACCUAUCCCUGGAGGAAGCACGGGCUAAGUUCGUGCCAGCAGCCGCGGUAAGACGAACCGUGCGAACGUUGUUCGGAAUCACUGGGCUUAAAGGGCGCGUAGGCGGCCGGGCAAGUCGGGGGUGAAAUCUUUCGGCCCAACCGGAAAAGCGCCCCCGAUACUGGCCGGCUCGAGGGGGGUAGGGGCGGACGGAACUUCCGGUGGAGCGGUGAAAUGCGUUGAUAUCGGAAGGAACGCCGGUGGCGAAAGCGGUCCGCUGGGCCCCUUCUGACGCUGAGGCGCGAAAGCCAGGGGAGCAAACGGGAUUAGAUACCCCCGUAGUCC
rnacentral:rRNA from 1 species